rnacentral:rRNA from 1 species
CCCUUAGAUGUCCUGGGCCGCACGCGCGCUACACUGAGUGUCUGAGAUACGAGUCUGCCUGGUCCGGCAAGGUCUAGGUAAUCGCUAAAAGACACAUCGUGCUUGGGAUAGAUUAUUGCAAAUAUUAAUCUUGAACGAGGAAUUCCUAGUAAACGCAAGUCAUCAGCUUGCAUUGAUUACGUCCCUGCCCUUUGUACACACCGCCCGUCGCACCUACUGAUUGAAUGACUCGGUGAAAAAUCGGGACUGCGAGAACAAUCGAUUAAUUUCGAAUGUACUUGUGGGAACUUUUUUUAACCUCGCCAUUUAGAAGAAGGUGAAGUCGUAACA